CUGGGAGAGAAGAGGAGAUUGAGGAGCAUAUAGUUGUCAGAAUAUGACCAGAUAGAACCAGGUUCAAAUUCCCCCAUAAUCUUGAAGAAUGCCAUUAUUAUCCUUCACCUUAACCUUCCUCACAGGGUGGCUGUAAGUGACAACAAAAGAAAAACUAGUCCUUUCUGGAAAUUCUCAAGACUUCUUUGAUAUCAUCAGUUCACAAGGCUAUGAAGUGCUGUGUUGUUCCAGUUUUGUAUGCUGCCCAGAAUUCACCGAAGUUGGGUGACUAAAUAAAUACAUGAAACCUCCAGUAUUGAUUCUGCCAUAUGAGAUAAAGUAUUCGCUGCUGAAGGAAGGUGUUUCCUUGUGGCAGUACAGGACAAUUUGGCGGGCCUUCUCAGUGGUGGUAAGAAUGGAGGUGUCUAAAAUUUAGCUGAAUGUAUUUGAGGCAUCUGACAAUGAACUUGAACUGCUUAAUUGAAGACUCUAUAUCAUUGCUCUAUUCUACCUUUUUAUCAUUUUGUAACUUGUAAAUUCUAUUUUAUAUCUACGUUUACAUUUUAUUUGUGUUUAUACACUUUUUUUGUGCCUUGGUAAUAUAAUUGAUAUAAUCCCAGGGAAAAGAGUACCCUUUGAUGCCAUAAUAAAAGGAAACAUGCAAAUGUUUCAGU